AAUGGGGGCAACCCUGAUCCAGCCAUGCCGCGUGUGUGAAGAAGGCCUUCGGGUUGUAAAGCACUUUAAGUGGGGAGGAAGGCUCGCUGAUUAAUAAUCAGCGGGAGUGACGUUACCCACAGAAUAAGCACCGGCAAACUCCGUGCCAGCAGCCGCGGUAAUACGGAGGGUGCGAGCGUUAAUCGGAAUUACUGGGCGUAAAGCGCACGUAGGCGGUUUGUUAAGUCGGAUGUGAAAUCCCUGGGCUCAACCUGGGAGCUGCAUUCGAUACUGGCAGACUUGAAUACGGUAGAGGGGGGUGGAAUUCCAGGUGUAGCGGUGAAAUGCGUAGAGAUCUGGAGGAACACCAGUGGCGAAGGCGGCCCCCUGGACCGAUAUUGACGCUGAGGUGCGAAAGCGUGGGGAGCAAA
rnacentral:rRNA from 1 species